AGAGUUUGAUCAUGGCUCAGGAUAAACGCUGGCGGCGUGCCUAACACAUGCAAGUCGAACGUCCUACGCAAGUAGGGAGUGGCGGACGGGUGAGUAACACAUGGGUAUCUACCCCGAAGUGAGGAAUACCGGCGAGAAAUCGCCGACAAGACCGCAUACGCUUCGCAAGAAGCAAAGCCCGCAAGGGCGCUUGGGGAUGA
rnacentral:rRNA from 1 species